rnacentral:rRNA from 1 species
GUCGAACGGGCUCUUCGGAGCUAGUGGCGGACGGGUGAGUAACGCGUGAGAAUCUGCCUUCAGGUCUGGGACAACAGAAGGAAACUUCUGCUAAUCCCGGAUGAGCCCUUGGGUAAAAGAUAAAUUGCCUGGAGAUGAGCUCGCGCCUGAUUAGCUAGUUGGUGUGAUAAAAGCAUACCAAGGCGACGAUCAAUAGCUGGUCUGAGAGGAUGAGCAGCCACACUGGGACUGAGACACGGCCCAGACUCCUACCGGAGGCAGCAGUGGGGAAUUUUCCUCAAUGGGCGAAAGCCUGACCGAGCAAGACCGCGUGGGGGAGGAAAACUCUAGGGUUGUAAACCCCUUUUCUUUGGGAAUAAGUACUGACGGUACCAAAGGAAUCAGCCUCGGCUAACUCCGUGCCACCAGCCGCGGUCAUUCGGAAGAGGCAAGCGUUAUCCGGAAUGAUUGGGCGUUAAGCGUCCG